rnacentral:rRNA from 1 species
GUCUACGGCCAUACCACCCUGAACGCGCCCGAUCUCGUCUGAUCUCGGAAGCUAAGCAGGGUCGGGCCUGGUUAGUACUUGGAUGGGAGAAAUGUAGGGCUGCAACUC